rnacentral:rRNA from 1 species
AUUGAACGCUGGCGGCAUGCUUUACACAUGCAAGUCGGACGGCAGCACAGAGAAGCUUGCUUCUUGGGUGGCGAGUGGCGAACGGGUGAGUAACAUAUCGGAACGUACCGAGUAAUGGGGGAUAACUAAUCGAAAGAUUAGCUAAUACCGCAUAUUCUCUGAGGAGGAAAGCAGGGGACCUUUUGGCCUUGCGUUAUUCGAGCGGCCGAUAUCUGAUUAGCUAGUUGGUGGGGUAAAGGCCUACCAAGGCGACGAUCAGUAGCGGGUCUGAGAGGAUGAUCCGCCACACUGGGACUGAGACACGGCCCAGACUCCUACGGGAGGCAGCAGUGGGGAAUUUUGGACAAUGGGCGCAAGCCUGAUCCAGCCUUGCCGCGUGUCUGAAGUAGGCCUUCGGCGUGUAAAGGACUUUUGUCAGGGAAGAAAAGGCUGUUGCUAUUAUCA